rnacentral:rRNA from 1 species
AGCGAACGCUGGCGGCAGGCCUAACACAUGCAAGUCGAACGAAGUCUUCGGACUUAGUGGCGGACGGGUGAGUAACACGUGGGAACGUGCCUUUAGGUUCGGAAUAACUCAGGGAAACUUGUGCUAAUACCGAAUGUGCCCUUCGGGGGAAAGAUUUAUCGCCUUUAGAGCGGCCCGCGUCUGAUUAGCUAGUUGGUGAGGUAAAGGCUCACCAAGGCUACGAUCAGUAGCUGGUCUGAGAGGAUGACCAGCCACAUUGGGACUGAGACACGGCCCAAACUCCUACGGGAGGCAGCAGUGGGGAAUCUUGCGCAAUGGCGAAAGCCUGACGCAGCCAUGCCGCGUGAAUGAUGAAGGUCUUAGGAUUGUAAAAUUCUUUCACCGGGGACGAUAAUGACGGUACCCGGAGAAGAAGCCCCGGCUAACUUCGUGCCAGCCGCCGCAGUAAGAC